rnacentral:rRNA from 1 species
GACGAACGCUGGCGGCGUGCCUAACACAUGCAAGUCGAGCGAGAAAAGGGGGCAACUCCCUGAGUACAGCGGCGCACGGGUGAGUAACACGUAGGUAACCUCGCCCUCGAGCUCGGAAUAACCUACCGAAAGGUGGGCUAAUACCGGAUAUGACCACGGGAGUUUCGGCUCCUGCGGUGAAAGGUGGCCUCUACCUGUAAGCUACCACUCAAGGAUGGGCCUGCGUGCCAUUAGCAGUUGGUGAGGUAACGGCUCACCAAGGCUAUGAUGGCUAGCUGGUCUGAGAGGAUGGCCAGCCACACUGGGACUGAAACACGGCCCAGACUCCUACGGGAGGCAGCAGUGGGGGAUAUUGCG